AGUGAACGCUGGCGGUAGGCCUAACACAUGCAAGUCGAACGGCAGCACAGUAAGAGCUUGCUCUUACGGGUGGCGAGUGGCGGACGGGUGAGGAAUACAUCGGAAUCUACUUUUUCGUGGGGGAUAACGUAGGGAAACUUACGCUAAUACCGCAUACGACCUACGGGUGAAAGCAGGGGAUCUUCGGACCUUGCGCGAUUGAAUGAGCCGAUGUCGGAUUAGCUAGUUGGCGGGGUAAAGGCCCACCAAGGCGACGAUCCGUAGCUGGUCUGAGAGGAUGAUCGGCCACCCUGGACCUGAGACCCGUCCCAGCCUCCUACGGGGGGCAGCGUUGGGGAUUUUUGGCCAAUGGGCGCAAGCCUGACCAGCCAUACCGCGUGGGUGAAGAAGGCCUUCGGGUUGUAAAGCCCUUUUGUUGGGAAAGAAAAGCAGCAGGUUAAUACCCCGCUGUUCUGACGGUACCCAAAGAAUAAGCACCGGCUAACUUCGUG
rnacentral:rRNA from 1 species